rnacentral:rRNA from 1 species
CAGUCGCCACGGUAAUACAGAGGGUGCGAGCGUUAAUCGGAUUUACUGGGCGUAAAGCGUGCGUAGGCGGCUUCUUAAGUCGGAUGUGAAAUCCCUGAGCUUAACUUAGGAAUUGCAUUCGAUACUGGGAAGCUAGAGUAUGGGAGAGGAUGGUAGAAUUCCAGGUGUAGCGGUGAAAUGCGUAGAGAUCUGGAGGAAUACCGAUGGCGAAGGCAGCCAUCUGGCCUAACACUGACGCUGAGGUACGAAAGCAUGGGGAGCAAACAGGAUUAGAUACCCCCGUAGUCCCUGUCUCUUAUAC